CCUACGGGAGGCAGCAGUAGGGAAUAUUGCUCAAUGGGGGAAACCCUGAAGCAGCAACGCCGCGUGGAGGAUGAAGGUUUUCGGAUUGUAAACUCCUUUUGUAGAGAAGAUAAUGACGGUAACUUACGAAUAAGCACCGGCUAAAUACGGGCCAGCAGCCGCGGGAAUACCGAGGGUGGAAGCGUUACUCGGAAUCAACGGGCGUAAAGAGGGCGUAGGCGGGAUUGCAAGUCAGAUGUGAAAUCCUUUGGCUUAACCAUAGAACUGCAUUUGAGACUGUUAUUCUAGAGUAUGGGAGAGGUAGGUGGAAUUCUUGGUGUAGCGGUAAAAUCCGUAGAGAUCAAGAGGAAUACUCAUUGCGAAGGCGACCUACUAGAACAUAACUGACGCUGAUGCGCGAAAGCGUGGGGAGCAAACAGGAUUAGAUACCCGAGUAGUC
rnacentral:rRNA from 1 species